CGCCCAUUAGCUAGCCUAAAAACCUAAAAACAACAAACCAUAUUAAUACCCCCUCAACCACUGAACAUUACAAAACAAAUCAUUUUUCCCUCCAAGUAUGUGCGACAGAAAAGAG
rnacentral:rRNA from 1 species